CAGUACCGUGAGGGAAAGGUGAAAAGCACCCCGGAAGGGGAGUGAAAUAGAACCUGAAACCGUGUGCUUACAAGUAGUCAGAGCCCGUUAAUGGGUGAUGGCGUGCCUUUUGUAGAAUGAACCGGCGAGUUACGAUUUGAUGCAAGGUUAAGCAGUAAAUGUGGAGCCGUAGCGAAAGCGAGUCUGAAUAGGGCGUUUAGUAUUUGGUCGUAGACCCGAAACCAGGUGAUCUACCCUUGGUCAGGUUGAAGUUCAGGUAACACUGAAUGGAGGACCGAACCGACUUACGUUGAAAAGUGAGCGGAUGAACUGAGGGUAGCGGAGAAAUUCCAAUCGAACCUGGAGAUAGCUGGUUCUCUCCGAAAUAGCUUUAGGGCUAGCCUCAAGUGAUGAUUAUUGGAGGUAGAGCACUGUUUGGACGAGGGGCCCCUCUCGGGUUACCGAAUUCAGACAAACUCCGAAUGCCAAUUAAUUUAACUUGGGAGUCAGAACAUGGGUGAUAAGGUCCGUGUUCGAAAGGGAAACAGCCCAGACCACCAGCUAAGGUCCCAAAAUAUAUGUUAAGUGGAAAAGGAUGUGGCGUUGCCCAGACAACUAGGAUGUUGGCUUAGAAGCAGCCAUCAUUUAAAGAGUGCGUAAUAGCUCACUAGUCGAGUGACACUGCGCCGAAAAUGUACCGGGGCUAAACAUAUUACCGAAGCUGUGGAUUGUCCUUUGGACAAUGGUAGGAGAGCGUUCUAAGGGCGUUGAAGCAUGAUCGUAAGGACAUGUGGAGCGCUUAGAAGUGAGAAUGCCGGUGUGAGUAGCGAAAGACGGGUGAGAAUCCCGUCCACCGAUUGACUAAGGUUUCCAGAGGAAGGCUCGUCCGCUCUGGGUUAGUCGGGUCCUAAGCUGAGGCCGACAGGCGUAGGCGAUGGAUAACAGGUUGAUAUUCCUGUACCACCUAUAAUCGUUUUAAUCGAUGGGGGGACGCAGUAGGAUAGGCGAAGCGUGCGAUUGGAUUGCACGUCUAAGCAGUAAGGCUGAGUAUUAGGCAAAUCCGGUACUCGUUAAGGCUGAGCUGUGAUGGGGAGAAGACAUUGUGUCUUCGAGUCGUUGAUUUCACACUGCCGAGAAAAGCCUCUAGAUAGAAAAUAGGUGCCCGUACCGCAAACCGACACAGGUAGUCAAGAUGAGAAUUCUAAGGUGAGCGAGCGAACUCUCGUUAAGGAACUCGGCAAAAUGACCCCGUAACUUCGGGAGAAGGGGUGCUCUUUAGGGUUAACGCCCAGAAGAGCCGCAGUGAAUAGGCCCAAGCGACUGUUUAUCAAAAACACAGGUCUCUGCUAAACCGUAAGGUGAUGUAUAGGGGCUGACGCCUGCCCGGUGCUGGAAGGUUAAGAGGAGUGGUUAGCUUCUGCGAAGCUACGAAUCGAAGCCCCAGUAAACGGCGGCCGUAACUAUAACGGUCCUAAGGUAGCGAAAUUCCUUGUCGGGUAAGUUCCGACCCGCACGAAAGGCGUAACGAUUUGGGCACUGUCUCAACGAGAGACUCGGUGAAAUCAUAGUACCUGUGAAGAUGCAGGUUACCCGCGACAGGACGGAAAGACCCCGUGGAGCUUUACUGUAGCCUGAUAUUGAAAUUCGGCACAGCUUGUACAGGAUAGGUAGGAGCCUUUGAAACGUGAGCGCUAGCUUACGUGGAGGCGCUGGUGGGAUACUACCCUAGCUGUGUUGGCUUUCUAACCCGCACUACUUAUCGUGGUGGGAGACAGUGUCAGGCGGUCAGUUUGACUGGGGCGGUCGCCUCCUAAAAGGUAACGGAGGCGCUCAAAGGUUCCCUCAGAAUGGUUGGAAAUCAUUCAUAGAGUGUAAAGGCAUAAGGGAGCUUGACUGCGAGACCUACAAGUCGAGCAGGGUCGAAAGACGGACUUAGUGAUCCGGUGGUUCCGCAUGGAAGGGCCAUCGCUCAACGGAUAAAAGCUACCCCGGGGAUAACAGGCUUAUCUCCCCCAAGAGUUCACAUCGACGGGGAGGUUUGGCACCUCGAUGUCGGCUCAUCGCAUCCUGGGGCUGUAGUCGGUCCCAAGGGUUGGGCUGUUCGCCCAUUAAAGCGGUAC
rnacentral:rRNA from 1 species